AGGAUCACGGUGUGGCAAGGUAGGUUUCAUUCUGUGGCCACUCUCCUUGGCGCGUAAGUGGACACCCUCUCCCUGGGUGCCCACACGGCAGAGACAGAGAGAGAGCAAGCUCUUGGGAGUCUUUUCCUAUAAAGGCACUAAUCCCAUCGUGAGGGCCUCAUCAUCAUGGCCUAAUCACCCUUACCCAAAGACCAUCACGUCGUGGACGAGGGCUUCAGCAUGUGGAUUCUGGGGGCAGAAACAUUCAGUCCACGGCACUAGCUGAGUGAUCUGAAUUAUCACAGCAUCAAAGGCUCAUGCACUUGGACGCGGUGGGGAAAACAGCCAGCCUGAGUCAGUGUAAAGUCCAAGUUCUAGAAACUUUAAGGAAUGCUGUUUAACAUGCAAUAACCAGCGUUAUGUCCAUCAGGAAACACCAGCUGGAGUGAGGCAGGUCGCUGUGUAUUCCAUGGCCUUGGAGUCACCCUGUCUUAUCAAGCAGACAUGAAAGAUAAUUAUUCUAAUCAGCUAAUGAUCAAAUCAACUGAGAAAUGGAAUAUUUCCUGCCAUAUCAGUAAACAAAGGACGUCACAGUCAUUGGAGAUCGCAGCCACCUCUGAUGGUGAGCUGGUGAGCCCUGAGGGAACUCAGGAAGGGAAAGAAUACCUGCCACCUAGCAGCCAUCACACUGCAGCCACUCCCCAAGGUCUCAGUUGAGAUGUCCCUGCCCCAGAAGCCUUCCUCAGUGUCCCAAGACUGGCCUGGUCCCUCUCCUGUGUGCUUCCCUGGCAGGCUGUGCUUUUCCUAAACCUCCAGGGAUUAUGUUUUAUUUACCUUCCUAUUUCCGCGGCUGUUGAAACCUGGUGCACAGCUGAUGCUCAGUAAAUGUCGUCUGGAUGUAUUUCUUUCAAGUCAGGAGAGAAUUAAGAUGACGAAAACGCCACUGCUGCGAUCACUGUGAGUCUGUGAAAAAUGUGGAGAUUACGAAGGGCCCCUGAGUGCCUGGGAUUGGAAGCUGAGAUGUGCACGGCCUGGCUUCUUCUCUGCACCUACACAGGUGCGUGCAGGGCAGGGAGGGAGGGGCAGUCAGGUCACAGCAGGAUCCGGGCAUCCCUGGGUCUCCCCAUCGAGAUGCCAUCACCACACCUCCCUGAUGACCAUGCCAGCUGUAAUACCUACCAUGGAGGAGAGUCCGCAUCAGAGAAAAGGAAGGGAGAGCGGCCGAGAGCAGGACGGACCUCUUCCCACCAGUGCUUGGAGUGGCCCCCAGGGAGGAGCUUCAGCCCCCACAUCCAUCCUGCCGGAAUAAAAAGUAUAAGGGGGAGAAAGAGAAGAAGAAGAGGCCUCACCACUUACGUUUUCAAGGUUAAGCCCGAUUCAAAACUGACCCUCGCAGGCCACGCCCCCUUUUCCUGUGGCUGGAUCCUUGCUAAGAGGUCGGGGAGGGUGACAGCACGGAGGGUCGGGGCUCGUGGGGCAGAGGCCUGGCCAGUCUUGUUCAGCUCUCCUAUCCCAAGAGCUGAACCCUGAUCCUGACAUAAGGGCGGCCCAGAGUUAAUAUUUGUUGCAAUUUUGAGUGAAUGAAUGUCCUCUUUCUCCUGAAGGCUGACAGAGACCUCUGACCACAGAUUGAUUACUUGAGUUUUGCCUAAAUGGCUUUCCUUCACCCUGACUUGACGCCUUCCAUUCACAGCACAAGUAAGGUUACUCAUUCAUGUUAAACACAAGAAAAUUACAGAGCUGCAGGUCAGCAUCUCUGGAGAGAUUCUAAACAAUUCUAAAGAUUCUAAACGCGAUGGGAGUCUCUCUGCCUGCCCUGUAUACAUAGCAGAUCCGUUGAUACGGUUCCCAGGCUGCUAGCAGGCAUCAAAUCCGAUGUCACGCACACACACUUUUCCGUACAAGGGGUGUUUGCACAACAGUACCUGAAGGCAGGAAAAAGCAAAUUCAUUGUGUGACAUGAAAGGUCCACUUCAUAUUCAUCAUUGGGUGUGUGUGCGUGCAUGUGUGUGUGCGUGUGUGUGCGUGUGCAUGUGUGUGCGUGCAUGCGUGUGUGUGUGCGUGCAUGUGUGUGCAGGUCGUCCACCUCACGAAGGUCUUGGUGAACAGAGUCAUCUUGGGCCCCAGUCAUGGGUACUGUGUUCCUGCCCCAUUUACAGGGGUCACUUCCCCUCCUUUCACUUAUUUUUCCCUCUUUGCUUCUCAUGUUCAUGUUCCCUCUUUUCCUUUCAUUUUAAUUGUUCUUUCUCCUUUUCUCUAUUCUGUUUCCCUUUCUUUUUACUUUCAGGUCUGGUCUGGAAUUCCCUGUUUGCCCCCCUCUUCUGUAAACCCACACGAAGCUCGACCGUGAGGGGGAGUCUCCACUGUACUUUGGUUUGAGCCUGUUUAAGACACCCACUUCCCGUGAAGGGCCAGGGAUGUCCUGCCUGACGUUAUGUCGAGGUGGAGCUAUUUGUUUUAUCAUCGGUUCUUCCCACUGGCAUUAGAAGCUACGCGGGGGCACUUUCUUGAGCUGUGCCUGAUACGUGUAGAAACUGAAGAGUAUUUGUGGAAUAAAUGAAUAGACACCGAACGUCUGUGUAGGUAGAACAGGGUACGUUUCACAACUUGAUGUAAACAGUUGUCUCCACUUGCGCCAGCUGAAAUGAGGACCCCAGGGGCUUUGCAAAGACGGGCUGAAUCUCCUGAAAGCAAAAGCCUUACAUUCCUUUCCACUCUACCCCCAGGGACUUGCUGGGAUUUCUCCAAAUCCACAAUGUGUUGUUGUGCCAGGCCCUGACUGUUUAUCUCCGUGAUGAAUACUUAAUACAAAUGGCAAGCCAUCCCGAGGGCAGCUGGCAUCCAUACCCACUGAGAAGGCCAGCAGUGGAGUGUGAAACACUGACGUCAGAGGCCAUUAAUGCAAAUGAGAGCAAACACUGUUCAUCAAGGUCUGAUGUGUGUCUCCAGGUGGGCCGACCACUGUGCCACCUGUUUACAGACACAUGCUGCUAGCCAGCCGGUAAAAGCCUGUGAGAUCUGUGUUUCUGCAUUAGAUUAGUCUCAAUUAGUAAAGCUAAUGUGUGCAGGAAUAUUGAACAUUUUAUUUUAAUGGAAAGCGUCCUGCUGGGUGAGAAGUAUGGUUUCUAUCUGGAGCCCCUUUUUUUAGCACAAGCUGUUGGUUCCCUGUCUUGAAAGGUUAAUCACAGGUUUAUUGCAAUCAAAACACUGAUGUCUACUUUUUUUUUUUGCAUUUCUUACAAAUCGUUAAAAACCUUGAUAUUCAUUUCCUCAGUGAUGAAGCUCCAUCAGGAAGGUAAUGACCUAAUUUGUGAGUUUGAAUUUUAUCUUGUCUUCUGUUGAAGCAACAGAAGGGAAGUUGCUUCCUCAUGAAUGUUUUCUAUGGUGUGAAUAGUUUCCAUACAAAUAAAACAGGAAAUACAACCAGGCAGCAGCGGUGAUGGCCUCAUACUCCUUGCUCUCUCAUUCCUGUACAGUUGGCUCUGUUUUAUUAUUGUGCCUGCGGCCUGGUUUCCGGGGGAGGCCCUGUGUAAUGGAAUGCCGGUCGAAUUCCAGCUCCCUGUGAUUUAGCGGGCAGCUUUGUUCUCGAGAGGACUAGACACAGGUAAUGAGAAACUACAUUUUAUUUACCGGCUGAUGUUUCUGUGUUGAUUUUUACGGGGGUUUAGGUUUUCAGCCAUCACUAAACUUCACAGAACUAGCGACUCAUAACUUCACAUCUUCCCAAGGGUCAUCACAGUGAGAGGCUGAUAGGCGGGAUGUGACAGGUAGAAAUACACGUCAAGUAUAUGGCCAUCAAAAGAGAAUAUCUCAGUAUUCAAGUUCAAGAUAAAAUUAAAUUUAAAAAAUCAAGAUAAAAUCAAAUGUCAUAAAUCAAAGAUAACCUUUUAUUCUCAUCCAUCAUAUUAUGAAAAUAAUAAUGAUUCCUGGUUGUGUUUAUCAAAAAAAGAUGUAAAAAGUGAAAAAAAGUAGUCUGAUGCUGGAGCUCAGGAGGGCGUGCAAGAGAAAAGCGAUGCGGUGAGCCCCUGGGCUCAGGGUUCCUGGACGUAUUAGACCCCAAUCCACUGCUCUUUGUCGAUGGACUCACAUUUCAGUUGUGGAUUUGACUCCCUGACCUGUAAGCAUCUCUAUUCUUUGACAUACUACAGGGGACGCAGUGGGCAGCAAAGGACAUGUGACAGUGGGUCUCAACUGUGGUUCUCUGGUUCUUACCAAGGUCCCCAGACUCAUAUGUUGAGACUAUAAUGGCCAGUGUGGUGGUGCUGGGAGAUGUGGCCUUCGAGAGGUGAGUAGGUCACGAGGGAGGAGCUCUCCUGAUGGGAUCAGCGCCCUUGCAAGGAGGAGAGAGCUGGUUUUCUGCCUCUCUGGUCUCUGCCAUGCGAGGACACAGAGAGAAGCGGGCAGUGUGCAAGCCGGGGAGAGAGCCCUCCCCUGAAGCCCAGUCCACUAGCACCUGGGUCUUGAACUUCCAGCCUCCUGAUCUGUCCUACAGCAUUUGUUAUGGCAGCCCUAGCUGACUAUGGGGUCCCACAUCCCAGAAGCACCUGGCCUGGUAGAAUCUUGCGUGGCCCACAGCGGGUUCAGUUAUGGGAGAGUUGGGGGUGAGUUUGCACACUUACCCGUGUGGUAAAUGCUCUGUACGAGUGGAAAACACACGGUGUUAUCCACCAUGGACCCAGAGGUGGGAAUGGCCCCUCUCACUGUCCUAGCUGUUAGCCCACUGGAAGAAUGUUCGAUUCCUUCCCACACCUUGGACUUGUGUGUGUGUGUGUGUGUGUGUGUGUGUGUGUGUAGGAUCUGACCCCUAGGGAGGAACUCGUCCACCCAGGAAUAUGACCGUCCUUUCCUUGAGCUGGAAGCUGAGACCAUCUCCUGGCCGUUUCGGCUUCUUCGGCUAUUGAACCAACAGAGAGAGAAGAGGGUGUGGCUGUGAUGACUGUGGGGUCGAUCUCAGUUACUGAAGGAAAGUUACGUUUCUGUUAUACAGUUUACACGAGGAGGACCAUGCCUGGGUCAGCGCUUUACUGGGGAGUCUCUUAUUACUGCCUCGUCGAAAAGUGCUGGUCUGUGAAAACCUGCGGCCUACCCAAAAAUCAGACCUGCAAGGAUUCAAAUACCAAAAGAAUAAAGGUUUGAUGCAUCCUGCUGGGCAAACAGUCCCACACAGCUACAGUGCAGGAAAAGACAGAGAGCAAAGAUUGGGUGUGAGAAUAUGGAGCUCUACACCAACUUACGCUUCAUGAACAGCUAUAGAAUUGGGGCUCCCAGAGCUUUGCUUCCUGUUAAUUAACUUUAUUCCCCCCCUCUGUCCCCCUGCUACUAGUAGUGACUUUUAGAUUUCAAAUGUAAGUAUGACAGAAUCAACAUUACCUCGAGAAACCCCUGUCAGCGUUGCUAACUACCCCAGGGACUUUGCUGUACCUCAGGGUUUCCCUGCACCCUACCCACAACCUUUAAAUAUUCGCUUACCUAUGCUCUCCUAAAAUUACCCAGUUUGAGUGUGUUGCAUCUUUCCUGCUUGGAUUUUAAUUAAUAUACCCUUUAAAUAAAUAAUUCAAGAUUCUUUAAAAAUUUUUUUCUGAUGCAUGUUUCAUCACAAUUA